rnacentral:misc_RNA from 1 species
GAUGAAGAACGUAGCGAAAUGCGAUAAGUAAUGUGAAUUGCAGAAUUCAGUGAAUCAUCGAAUCUUUGAACGCACAUUGCGCCCAUUAGUAUUCUAGUGGGCAUGCCUGUUCGAGCGUCAUUAAGUCCACUUAUGCCCUGCUUAGUGUUGGGAGACUGCUCCAGCGGUGCUACCCUGUAGCUACCCUGCAGCUCCUCAAAGACAGCGGCGGAGUUGUGGUAUCCUCUGAGCUUAGUAACUUGUUCUAGCUUUCGAGUACACCACUUCCCCUGCCGUAAAACCCUUAAUUUUUAAUGGUUGACCUCGGAUCAGGUAGGAAUACCCGCUGAACUUAAGCAUAUCAAUAAGCGGAGGA